ACACACGCUACAGGCCUCCCUUUCUUACUCCCUAAUUUCCAGAAUACACAAACUCUACCCUUCCAUGCCUACCUUCUCUGUUAGCACUCAACACAUUCUCUAUCCCUGCCUUCACUCCUCCCUAAAUUGCCUCGGCUUACCACCCUUUCCUACUAGAUGUAUCAACUCUCACAGCACCCUACCUUUACUAUCCUCCUCUGCCAGCUCCCCCUCUACUACUCUCCUAGACCUAUUCUGUCCCUAACUGCUCCUCUUUCCACACCUUUCCCACCUCCCUUCACUUACUUUAAUCCGUGCGCUUCUACUCGUAAUCAAUCACACCUGUUCACCUCAUCUCCUAUAAACUCCCUUACACAUUUUUAAUCACAGAAUUCCUCUCUCUCACGAAACUCACUCACUCACCGAACUCCUCAUUCUCUCUCCUCCUGCAGCCUCCUCCAUGUACCUCCACUCAUAAUCA
rnacentral:lncRNA from 1 species